GCUGAGAUCUAGCCACGGAGGUCGUAGAUCGCCUGGUGGAUGCUUUUCAGAAAGGCAUCGGUUGGGAUUUGGCUGGAGAAGAAGAAGAAGAUGUCGAAGAAGAUGAUCGGAGAUAGUCCCGUUGAGUACUCCUUUAAGAACAAGGGUCCUGCGAAGACAUAGGGCCCUUCCUCUAGCGUCAAUUCUGUUGGUGCAGAAUUCCAUCGAUGUCGGAGAAGUUGGAGUCGAGGGGAUCACGGCCGUCGUCGAGACCUG
rnacentral:lncRNA from 1 species